rnacentral:rRNA from 1 species
AGUUAACGCUGGCAGCGUGCAUAACACAUGCAAGUCGAACGGGGCUUUCUGCGAUUACAUCAAGGGAAGUCUAGUGGCAGACGAGUGAGUAACACGUAAGGAAUCUACCUCCAAGAAGGGGAUAACGUGUCGAAAGAUGCGCUAAUACCCUAUGUAAUCCCUGAGCGGCAUCGCAAGGGGAUGAAAGGCCCGCAAGGGUCGCCUGGGGGUGACCUUGCGUCCUAUCAGCUAGUUGGUGAGGUAACGGCCCACCAAGGCUACGACGGGUACCCGGCCUGAAAGGGCGACCGGGCACGGAGGCACUGAGACACGGGCCUCACUCCUACGGGAGGCAGCAGUGGGGAAUUUUGGACAAUGGGGGGAACCCUGAUCCAGCCAUGCCGCGUGUGUGAAGAAGGCCUUAUGGUUGUAAAGCACUUUAAGCGAGGAGGAGGCUACUUUAGUUAAUACCUAGAGAUAGUGGACGUUACUCGCAGAAUAAGCACCGGCUAACUCUGUGCCAGCCGCCGCGGUAA